CAAACGACUCUCGGCAACGGAUAUCUUGGCUCACGCAUCGAUGAAGAACGUAGCAAAAUGCGAUACUUGGUGUGAAUUGCAGAAUCCCGUGAACCAUCGAGUUUUUGAACGCAAGUUGCGCCCGAAGCCUUUUGGCUGAGGGCACGUCUGCCUGGGCGUCACAC
rnacentral:rRNA from 2 species